rnacentral:lncRNA from 1 species
GCAAAACAACUUCAGCUCUACGGAAAAAAAAGGGGAAAAAAAAAGAUUUUUUACUGGUAAAACGGAUUGCCGUAAUAUAAUCCAAACCGUGAACCGAUAAUCUCUAAAAGUUGGUAAAAAACUACGGAAUGCCGUUUAACCCACUUUUUUUUUUAGUCAACUAGGGUGUUGUCAACAUGUUACAAUAUAUAUACAAUAUAUUUAAAAUAUAUAUACAAUAUAUUUAAAAUAUAUAUACAAUAUAUUUACAAUAUAUAUACAAGCUUUAAGUGUAAAUAUAAAGCUUUAUAUUUACACUUUAGAAGUAUAAAAAUAUAUAAAGCUUUACAUUGGCAACACCCAACAUGCAACAUGGCAUUCGCUGCCUGGCGGCCAUUCAAAGAAAGCUUAUAUAAUGACUUCUACCAUUUUUGUUAGUCUUUUGGUUCCAUACUCUCGCAGAUGCAGUAUGUAAGUAUUCCAUUGGUCGAAUAGUUGUCUCUUUAUUUCCUCUGACUAGAUUUUCUACUUGGUAUGUAAAAGUCUACAAAUUGAUUUAGUUUAGCUUCUGACUAGAUCUGUAAAUGAAUCUUUAAAUUUCGCUUGUGUGAGUACAAAAAUACUAUUCACAACGUUGGUUGAAAUCUAUACUUGACAAGUUCAUUUACAAGAAUGUGGUUUCAAAUACGAUGUGCCCUGAUACCGUACGACACGUAAAUGUGUUCUGAUAAAAUAUUUUCCUUAUUAUUUUGGACUGCUAUGUCGGACAUCAGCGAGUUGUGAAUUGUAUUGUCGUGUCUACUCCUAGUCUGUGGUAUGUGUUAGGUAUGUCUGAUUAGAAUAUUGGUGUUGCACAUCUUGUGAUGGUGUACUUUAUCCCUUUUUAGUAUUGGUUACUUGUGUGGUAAACCCUUCAUGAAUUACAAGCUAUCUUUGAGCAUCAUAUUCAUUAAUCUUUUUGUAAGGUUUUCUUAUUUUAGGGUAUCUCAAAUUAAAGGAACUUAAUACUAAUCUCCCAAAAUUGAGACUCAAGUAUUGGGGUGGUGAGUUACAGACAUGGGUUUGAGUUAAUUGUUAACAAUUAGCAACCCAAGUUGAUCCCUUUUUUGUGUUGGUCACUCCUGUGGUAAACUCUUCAUGAAUUGCAAGUUUUAAUCCUUGAACAUCAAUGUCUUUUCUGCAAGAUAGGCUGGUGCUUUAAACCGGACUUCUUUUUUUGCAGAGUUCAUUGGUGUUGAAUCUUGGAUAGUUAUGGUGCAAUUCUUAGUAUUGCAGUGUUUAACAGGUUUUUCUGAUUUUGGAGGCUGCCAAAUUAAUAAGGUUAUCUUGGAUAAGUUGGGUAUGUCUUGGACAGGUCAACAACAGGAAGUUUGUUAGAGCCUGCUUUUGCUUCACUGCUUUUGAUCUCAUGAAGUACAUGACUUUGGUUAGAUAGUUUAAUUUAAUAAAGGAUCUUUCUACUUGCGCCUGUUUGCUAUGGUGCAUGUGAUUCGAUCACGUCAGAAAGUUUGGGUGUUAAUGGCGAUACGUUUUUCUUAGCUUCGAAUAUUGGGCAUCUGCAAGGUGGGAAUUGUUUGUUAUUUUAUUUCAUCAUAUUCUAUUCCUACUUUAGAUAUUCUCCAUAACUGAAGAACUGAAAUUACAUGGACGAAUUUUGUUUAUGUAUUUACUUCUCCGACAAAUUUUCUGGUUAAGACAUAGUAAAAUCAGUUGACGAGGUUACUCCCACCGUAUGUUUAAAAUACACCAAUCAAAAUAUGGCAAAGUGCUCUUAAAUCUCGUGCUUAAUUUCAUGGAUAUUUGUUAGAAACGAAAUUUGCUAGGUCAAAAAACACCAUUGACAAGAUUGAUGGUGAAUCCAAACAGGAAGUUGCCAUUUCGGUGGGAAAGAAACAUUGAUGCAAGUUAAAAGGGUGUCCGAAGUUUUCUCCUUGCUUUUUUUUUUCACAUCUGUGGUAUU